GGGCAGGUGGCGGAACUGGCAAACGCAUGGGACUUAAAAUCCCCCGGCCGCAAGGCCUUGCGGGUUCGACCCCCGCCCUGCCCA
rnacentral:tRNA from 1 species